rnacentral:rRNA from 1 species
UACGGAAGGCAGCAGUGGGGAAUAUUGCACAAUGGGCGAAAGCCUGAUGCAGCUAUGCCGCGUGUAUGAAGAAGGCCUUAGGGUUGUAAAGUACUUUCAUCGGGGAGGAAAAAACAAAACUAAUAAUUUUAUUUCUUGACGUUACCCGAAAAAGAAGCACCGGCUAACUCCGUGCCAGCAGCCGCGGUAAUACGGAGGGUGCUAGCGUUAAUCAGAAUUACUGGGCGUAAAGAGCACGUAGGUGGUUUUUUUAAGUCAGAUGUGAAAUCCCUGGGCUUAACCUAGGAACUGCAUUUUGAAACUGAAAUACUAGAGUAUCGUAGAGGAGGUAGAAUUCUAGGUGUAGCGGUGAAAUGCGUAGAUAUCUGGAGGAAUACCUGUGGCGAAAGCGGCCUCCUAAACGAAUACUGACACUGAGGUGCGAAAGCGUGGGGAGCAAACAGGGAUUAGAUACC